AUAUUUUUUCCUCUCUCUCCCACUCACUCUCGCUCCUUGCUUUCGAUCCACCCUCUACUCUAACCCCCACCGUUGCGUUUCAUUGCGCCUCCGUUGCGUUUCAUUGCGCCUCCGUUGCGUUUCAUUACGCCACCGUUGCAAUUUGAAUUUUGAUUUCGAUUUUGUAUGGUGUUUGUAAAUCACCGGUUUUGAACAGUUUAAUUGGACAUCCAAUUUUGCCUACGGGUGGAAAUGGAGCUACCAAAGCUCCAAUUUGCAUUGAUCUGCAACGAGAUACUUCUUUGAGCAGCACAUCUAUUAUAUUGCAGAUUGACAAUAAAUCUUAGCAAGUGCUUUAAGACAUUCUUUGCAGGAUAGGUUGAGUAAGACUUCCUCAGCCAAGGCACGAGAUCAAAUAACUUUGAAGCUACGCACGAGUACAGGAGUAAGCAAUAUCAAGGAAGUGGAAGGUGGAUUUAACCAUCAAUUUCAAAGAGAAGCCGAAGACAGGAAGAGCCAGAUUUUGUAUGAGCUCUCGCAUUUGGGGAGAGGAACCAAGAAGAUUUUCGAACAAUAUUUCAAGAAUAUAAAUUGGUAUCUGAUUAUCCAGUAGCAUCAGAUCGCUUAUGACAUAGUCCAUCUGUUUUACUUCUAUUCCGGGACUAAUGCCAUUAAAUGGUAUUGGUAACUCUGAAUCAUACUUAGAUUCACAAAUGAGAAGUUCUAACAGAAAACACCCGUCAAAUACCAUAGUCGUUGCCAGAGCAUA